AGCCUACACAGGGGAAUUAUAUGUUUGACUGUAAGAUACAAUGAACUAGCACAUGAUAGACAAGAGGACAUGAUAGGCAAUGUGCUUAAGUACAUGCUUUAUAUUAAUAAUGUAUAAUAGAAGAAGAAUAAACAACAACAACAACAACAAGGAGCUGGUCCACUUUAUUCAACACUCAAUCAAGACAAUGAUACUCCUCCUCCUGUCCCUCCUGCCUAUAAUCCUGAGGGAGUACAGGAAUACUCUGUAUUGAAGAGAGAGGGAGAGAAUAAGGGUCAACAGGGUCUGUCUACUGGUGCUACUGGACUAUAUUCAACCAUUAA